rnacentral:tRNA from 1 species
AGGGAUGUAGCUCAGUGGUAGAGCACUCGCCUGGCAUGUGUGAGGCACUGGGUUCGAUCCUCAGCACCACAU